AUUUUGGUUGACGUAUUUAAAGUUGCUGUGAGACACUAAUCCACUUUCAUAAUUUGAUGUUAGUAUUUACCAGUACUUUUUUCAGAAUGAAUCCUGUAAUUCUAAUAUUCUACUAUGGAUGCGUUUUCUUUAAGCAAGCACUAUCCGAAGAAUGUAUGCCAACUUUUGUCGAUUGCUAUUGCGAAAAUUAUUUACAACACAAUAUUCAAAUUACAGUCAAUACGGUAUUGAAGAGAGACGAAGAUACAGAUUUAACUUUAUGUGUUUCAGCUGAAUAUCCCCCUGAUGUUUGCGCCAAAAGAAAUUGUUCUAUUCUGCCAAAUAAAAAUUUCGCUUCGCUUU